UUAAGCGACUAAGCGUACACGGUGGAUGCCCUGGCAGUCAGAGGCGAUGAAGGACGUGCUAAUCUGCGAUAAGCGUCGGUAAGGUGAUAUGAACCGUUAUAACCGGCGAUUUCCGAAUGGGGAAACCCAGUGUGUUUCGACACACUAUCAUUAACUGAAUCCAUAGGUUAAUGAGGCGAACCGGGGGAACUGAAACAUCUAAGUACCCCGAGGAAAAGAAAUCAACCGAGAUUCCCCCAGUAGCGGCGAGCGAACGGGGAGCAGCCCAGAGCCUGAAUCAGUNUGUGAGCUCGAUGAGUAGGGCGGGACACGUGGUAUCCUGUCUGAAUAUGGGGGGACCAUCCUCCAAGGCUAAAUACUCCUGACUGACCGAUAGUGAACCAGUACCGUGAGGGAAAGGCGAAAAGAACCCCGGCGAGGGGAGUGAAAAAGAACCUGAAACCGUGUACGUACAAGCAGUGGGAGCACGCUUAGGCGUGUGACUGCGUACCUUUUGUAUAAUGGGUCAGCGACUUAUAUUCUGUAGCAAGGUUAACCGAAUAGGGGAGCCGAAGGGAAACCGAGUCUUAACUGGGCGUUAAGUUGCAGGGUAUAGACCCGAAACCCGGUGAUCUAGCCAUGGGCAGGUUGAAGGUUGGGUAACACUAACUGGAGGACCGAACCGACUAAUGUUGAAAAAUUAGCGGAUGACUUGUGGCUGGGGGUGAAAGGCCAAUCAAACCGGGAGAUAGCUGGUUCUCCCCGAAAGCUAUUUAGGUAGCGCCUCGUGAAUUCAUCUCCGGGGGUAGAGCACUGUUUCGGCAAGGGGGUCAUCCCGACUUACCAACCCGAUGCAAACUGCGAAUACCGGAGAAUGUUAUCACGGGAGACACACGGCGGGUGCUAACGUCCGUCGUGAAGAGGGAAACAACCCAGACCGCCAGCUAAGGUCCCAAAGUCAUGGUUAAGUGGGAAACGAUGUGGGAAGGCCCAGACAGCCAGGAUGUUGGCUUAGAAGCAGCCAUCAUUUAAAGAAAGCGUAAUAGCUCACUGGUCGAGUCGGCCUGCGCGGAAGAUGUAACGGGGCUAAACCAUGCACCGAAGCUGCGGCAGCGACNNNNNNNNNNNNNNNNNNNNNNNNNNNNNNNNNNNNAUGCUGGAGGUAUCAGAAGUGCGAAUGCUGACAUAAGUAACGAUAAAGCGGGUGAAAAGCCCGCUCGCCGGAAGACCAAGGGUUCCUGUCCAACGUUAAUCGGGGCAGGGUGAGUCGACCCCUAAGGCGAGGCCGAAAGGCGUAGUCGAUGGGAAACAGGUUAAUAUUCCUGUACUUGGUGUUACUGCGAAGGGGGGACGGAGAAGGCUAUGUUGGCCGGGCGACGGUUGUCCCGGUUUAAGCGUGUAGGCUGGUUUUCCAGGCAAAUCCGGAAAAUCAAGGCUGAGGCGUGAUGACGAGGCACUACGGUGCUGAAGCAACAAAUGCCCUGCUUCCAGGAAAAGCCUCUAAGCAUCAGGUAACAUCAAAUCGUACCCCAAACCGACACAGGUGGUCAGGUAGAGAAUACCAAGGCGCUUGAGAGAACUCGGGUGAAGGAACUAGGCAAAAUGGUGCCGUAACUUCGGGAGAAGGCACGCUGAUAUGUAGGUGAAGUCCCUCGCGGAUGGAGCUGAAAUCAGUCGAAGAUACCAGCUGGCUGCAACUGUUUAUUAAAAACACAGCACUGUGCAAACACGAAAGUGGACGUAUACGGUGUGACGCCUGCCCGGUGCCGGAAGGUUAAUUGAUGGGGUUAGCGCAAGCGAAGCUCUUGAUCGAAGCCCCGGUAAACGGCGGCCGUAACUAUAACGGUCCUAAGGUAGCGAAAUUCCUUGUCGGGUAAGUUCCGACCUGCACGAAUGGCGUAAUGAUGGCCAGGCUGUCUCCACCCGAGACUCAGUGAAAUUGAACUCGCUGUGAAGAUGCAGUGUACCCGCGGCAAGACGGAAAGACCCCGUGAACCUUUACUAUAGCUUGACACUGAACAUUGAGCCUUGAUGUGUAGGAUAGGUGGGAGGCUUAGAAGUGUGGACGCCAGUCUGCAUGGAGCCGACCUUGAAAUACCACCCUUUAAUGUUUGAUGUUCUAACGUUGACCCGUAAUCCGGGUUGCGGACAGUGUCUGGUGGGUAGUUUGACUGGGGCGGUCUCCUCCUAAAGAGUAACGGAGGAGCACGAAGGUUGGCUAAUCCUGGUCGGACAUCAGGAGGUUAGUGCAAUGGCAUAAGCCAGCUUGACUGCGAGCGUGACGGCGCGAGCAGGUGCGAAAGCAGGUCAUAGUGAUCCGGUGGUUCUGAAUGGAAGGGCCAUCGCUCAACGGAUAAAAGGUACUCCGGGGAUAACAGGCUGAUACCGCCCAAGAGUUCAUAUCGACGGCGGUGUUUGGCACCUCGAUGUCGGCUCAUCACAUCCUGGGGCUGAAGUAGGUCCCAAGGGUAUGGCUGUUCGCCAUUUAAAGUGGUACGCGAGCUGGGUUUAGAACGUCGUGAGACAGUUCGGUCCCUAUCUGCCGUGGGCGCUGGAGAACUGAGGGGGGCUGCUCCUAGUACGAGAGGACCGGAGUGGACGCAUCACUGGUGUUCGGGUUGUCAUGCCAAUGGCACUGCCCGGUAGCUAAAUGCGGAAGAGAUAAGUGCUGAAAGCAUCUAAGCACGAAACUUGCCCCGAGAUGAGUUCUCCCUGACUCCUUGAGAGUCCUGAAGGAACGUUGAAGACGACGACGUUGAUAGGUCGGGUGUGUAAGCGCAGCGAUGCGUUGAGCUAACCGGUACUAAUGAACCGUGAGGCUUAACCUU
rnacentral:rRNA from 1 species